rnacentral:rRNA from 1 species
UACGAGGGGUGCAAGCGUUAUUCGGAAUAACUGGGCGUAAAGGGUGUGUAGACGGUAUAUUAAGCUUGCUGUUAAACCCUCCGGCUCAACCGGAGAUCAGCAGUGAGAACUGAUAAACUAGAGUAUGGAAGAGAGAAGUGGAACUCCCGGAGUAGCGGUAAAAUGCGUAGAUCUCGGGAGGACACCGAUGGCGAAGGCAGCUUCUUGGUCCAUUACUGACGUUGAGACACGAAAGCGUGGGGAGCAAACAGG